rnacentral:rRNA from 1 species
CAUGCAAGUCGAACGGAAACCUUCGGGUUUUAGUGGCGAACGGGUGAGUAACACGUAAGCAACCUACCCUAAAGACGAGGAUAACCAUUGGAAACAGUGGCUAAGACUGGAUAGGAAGAUAAAAGGCAUCUUGUAUCUUUUAAAAGACCUAGUUAAUAGGUAUGCUUUAGGAGGGGCUUGCGCCAUAUUAGUUAGUUGGUAGGGUAAUGGCCUACCAAGACGAUGAUGUGUAGCUGGACUGAGAGGUUGAACAGCCACAUUGGGACUGAGACACGGCCCAAACUCCUACGGGAGGCAGCAGUAGGGAAUUUUCGGCAAUGGAGGAAACUCUGACCGAGCAACGCCGCGUGAAUGACGAAGUACUUCGGUAUGUAAAGUUCUUUUAUCGAGGAAGAAAAGCAAAUGGCGAACCAUUUGUUUGCCGGUACUUGAUGAAUAAGCCCCGGCUAAUUAUGUGCCAGCAGCCGCGGUAAGACAUAAGGGGCAAGUGUUAUCCGGAAUUAUUGGGCGUAAAGGGUGCGUAGGCGGUCUAGUAAGUCAGUGGUGUAAUGGCAACGCUUAACGUUGUCCGGCUAUUGAUUCUGCUAAACUUGAGUUAGAUAGAGGCGAGUGGAAUUCCAUGUGUAGCGGUAAAAUGCGUAAAUAUAUGGAGGAACACCAGAGGCGUAGGCGGCUCGCUGGGUCUUAACUGACGCUGAGGCACGAAAGCGUGGGGAGCAAACAGGAUUAGAUACCCUGGUAGUCCACGCCGUAAACGAUGAGUACUAAGUGUCGGGUUAAACCGGUACUGAAGUUAACACAUUAAGUACUCCGCCUGAGUAGUACGUACGCAAGUAUGAAACUUAAAGGAAUUGACGGGACUCCGCACAAGCGGUGGAUCAUGUUGUUUAAUUCGAAGAUACCCGAAAAACCUUACCAGGUCUUGACAUGUUUUUGCAAAAUGAUAGUAAUAUCGUGGAGGUUACCAGAAACACAGGUGGUGCAUGGUUGUCGUCAGCUCGUGUCGUGAGAUGUUAGGUUAAGUCCUAAAACGAGCGAAACCCUUAUCGUUAGUUGCCAGCACGUUAUGGUGGGGACUUUAACGAGACUGCCAAUGAUAAAUUGGAGGAAGGUGAGGAUCACGUCAAAUCAGCAUGCCCCUUAUGACCUGGGCUACAAACGUGAUACAAUGGCUGUUACAAAGGGUAGCUGAAACGCAAGUUCUUGGCCAAUCCCCAAAAACAGUCCCAGUCCGGAUUGAAGUCUGCAACUCGACUUCAUGAAGUUGGAAUCGCUAGUAAUCGCGAAUCAGCAUGUCGCGGUGAAUACGUUCUCGGGGUUUGUACACACCGCCCGUCAAACCACGAAAGUUGGCAAUACCCCAAAACGGUAGCCUAACUCGUUUAUUCGAGAGGGCGCCGUCUAAGGUAGGGUCGAUGAUUGGGGUUAAG